UACGUAGGGGGCAAGCGUUAUCCGGAAUCACUGGGUGUAAAGGGUGAGUAGGCGGUUCGAUAAGUCAUGUGUGAAAGCCCCCAUGCUUAACAUGGGGACUGCACAAGAAACUGUCGGACUAGAGUACAGGAGAGGUAAGUGGAAUUCCUAGUGUAGCGGUGAAAUGCGUAGAUAUUAGGAAGAACACCAGUGGCGAAGGCGGCUCACUGGCUCGGUACUGACGCUGAGGCGCGAAAGCGUGGGGAGCGAACAGG
rnacentral:rRNA from 1 species